UGAUGGUUUACCUGGGUUAUUGAAUUUUUUCAAACUUUAUAAAGAUUAAAGUAUGACAUAUUUUAUGUUUUAGAAACUCACGGAGUAUUCUACUCACUCAUUUUUUUAUAUGGAUUUCAUAUUUACAGGAAACAAGAGAUAGAGUAGCACAACGGAAGAUAGGGUCCGUAUAAAAUGGACCAACAAAAAGAUUGGUUCAAAGUAACCAUGAGAUUUAGCCUUUUGAUUUAUCACAUCCACACCAUUAAACCUUACACUCUUCAUAUGUAAUCCCUUCCCCUCUCUUCACAUAUAAGAGACAGAAAUUGUGAAGACGGGAUCUUGCUUCUAUUGUGAUUAAGAUUGAAGAAGAUUUAUGAUUGUGAAAUAGGAAAGAUGCAGGUUUUCUGAAGGGAGAAUAAAGAUGAGAUAGUAAAACAAGAGAAUAUUAUAUGGUAUUAUCGAGAGUACAUCAUAAGAUUGUGAAGUCUACUUCAUCUAAUGUUUUUCACACAUUUGUCCAUCAUGGACCAAUACAUCUAAUGGUCCAUUCUAUAAGGUUUGAAGGAAUUUUGAAAACAUAAAAUUAUUUGAUUUAAAUGUCUUUAGUCUCUGCAAAUAUACUACUUUUUUAUUUUAGUCCAUGUAAGAUUUUUUUUUGGAUUUAGUCCUUGUAAAAUAAGAGACAAUCAGUUUUGAUCCCUAAAAAAAAGCUUGUAAAUUGCCAUGACAUGUGGGCCUAUAAAUAUACACCAACACCAUUUUUUAUGAUUUAUUAAAAAUUAAAAUAUUUUAUAUUAUUAAUUCUUAAAUUUAUUUAUUGAUCAUUUAAUAAUUAGUGUUACUUUAUAAAGAAAAUAUGAAUAAAAAUUAAAAGAAGGAUUUAAUGGUUUUUGGAAAAUUCUUCAUUCUUUUAAUGUUAAUUUGACAGUAGGGAUCAAAGUCGAUCUCGUCUUUGAUUAUGCAUGAAUUAAAUCCAAACAAAAAAUUUACAGGGUCUAAAAUCAAAAAGUAGUAUAUUUGCAGGGACUAAAUAUAUAUUUAAACCAAAUUAUUUUAACACAAGUAUUCAUCACUAUAUCAUUCUCUUAUACUAGGAAAGAGAGAUUGAGGAAUAAGUGGAGAAUAAGGGUUUUUUUUUCUUUCAUUGUUUGGCAUGAGAGAAUGAGAAGAAAGAAAAUUAUAGUUUUUUUCCAUCAUUUUACGUUCAACUUUGUGGUUAAUGACAUUUAACAUUGUUGUUAAUUAUGUUAAGGACCCUUCAAAUAUAGAAGCUUUGUUUGUUUAUUAUUUUGAAGAUUUCUUCAAUUCUAACAAUACUUGUAUGGUUAGAGAUAUCAUCCUUCAUCUUGUGGGUAAUUCUAUGAAUGCAAUGCUUACUAACUUGUCUAGUUUUGAGGAAAUUAAAGAUGUUGUUUUUGACAUGAAUUUAGAUAUUGCUUUAGGCCCUAAUGGUUUUGGUGCUUUUUUCCUUCAUGUUGCUUACUUUUAUUAUAUCUAAUAUCAUAUCUCCUCAUUAAAUGGGCGCUAUUCAAGGUAGAUAUAUUGGUGAUUGUAUUUGUCUUACUUUAGAAGCUAUUAAUAUGUUUUAGAGCAUAAAUUUUAAUGAAACUUAGCUCUCAAGAUUGAUAUACGAAAAGUCUUUAACAUUAUAGAUUGAACUUUACUUAUUAAAGUUUUGCAAGAUUGUGGUUUUAACAACAAGUUCUAUCAUUGGAUUAACAUUAUUCUCAAGUCUUCUAACUUUUCAUAUUAGUUAAUUGUAAAUUUGAUGGCUUAUAUUUUUUUUGUCAAAAACGGGGUAGGGCAAGGAAACAGUGUCUCUUUUGUAUUGCAUUGCUCGAGUGACUUUUAGCAGAGUUGUAUCUAAGUUGGUUGACUAGAGUUCCCUUUGUUUGAUAAAUGGUCCCAGAGACAUUUAGGUUCCUUCACAUGUUUUUGUAUGCUGAUGACUUGAUGAUUUUUUUGCAAGGUGUUCACUUAUGUAAACAUAAAAUACAAAGGGUGAGUUAUCCUAUGGAGCUACCUAGGAGGAGCUUCAAGAAUACUCUGAAAUAACUAAGGAAAAAGUACACUAUUAGAGAUAAAAUGAAUAUGCACAUUCUUCCUCCUAACUGUCUCUUUUUAUAGUCAUCUCUUCUUGACCUAAUGGGCCAUUCUUUGGACGUCCAAGCCUAUUAGGUUACAUCUUUGAGAUCCACACUACUUGCAUGUACGAGUACUUCAUCACAUGGAGUUGGUUGCUCCUUCUCCAUGCACCUUGUUCAUACAUAUCACGUGGAGUUGGAGCACACAUAGAUCAUGUCACUCGUCCGUCCCAGACGUGUGCCAAUGCAUAUAACAUUUUUUAAGAGGACCACAACUUUCACUUGGACAAUAACUUGGUGCCGAACAUACUUGUGUAGUUGAAAUGAGGGUGGAGCUCAACAUAACCUGAAUGGUGGAGCUGAGCUCAAUGGGGAAGCUGAGUUGGGUUGAGCUGAAUGGUAGAGAUGAGCUGGACUGAGCUGAAUGGUAGAGCUAGGCUAGGUUGAGCUGGAUGGUGGAGUUGAGCUAAAUGACUGAGCUAAGUUAGGCUGAGUUGGAUGGUGAAGCUGAGAUAAGUUGGAAUCAAUGGUAGAGUUGAGCUGGAUGGUGUAACUGAGCUAAAUAAUUGAGCUAAGUUAGGUUGAGUUGGAUGGUGAAGCUGAGCUAAGUUGGGCUAAAUGGUCAAGUUGAGCUAGAUUGGACCUGAAUGGUUGAGCUAAAAUUGGUUAUCGUGGAAUGGCAAGGGUCACAUGGUAUGAUCAUCUAUACCAGUCCACAGUCCACCAAAUAUUUGUUUCUUCUUGAUGUGGAUUUGAGUGCUUCCACGUGAGAUUGAAUAUCAAAUCAAGUGAUUUCAUCAAAUAAAAAAAAAAAAAAAAGAAACAAAGAUGAAUUAGGUUGAGAAGAUGAAGAAUGCACCACAUUCAAGGAUGAUUGAUAAGUCAAAUUAAACAUGAAUAAAACUAAAAACCAUUAUAAAAGUCUUGACUUGAAAUAUUCUUUGUUUUUUUCCUCCUAAUUAGCUCAUUUUAGGUCUUCAUCAUCACCUCAUUCUUAGAAGAAAUUUAACCUCAAAUUUAGUUUAAUCAUAAUCUUGAGGAAGAAAAAGACAAGUCAAAGACAUGAAGAACAAUGUUAACGCAACCACUAGGAUCAAAUGGAAAUUGUGAAAAAACACCAUAUGUGCCAAGUAGGUGAAACACAACUCCACUUUUUGCAUUUAACAAUUCAACAUAUUUAUUUUUAAUAUAAUGAGUUUUCAAGAUAGAGAUAAAAUUGUACCUCUUGAAUUUUUACAUUAAGUACCAAUGUUACAUUGCUUGCAUUGGAAUUGGUGAUAGACAAAAAGUUACUUUGUAUUUUCAAAGGCUACAAAGUAAGUUGAGUCUUAUGGACAUUCUUUUCAUCAUAAAUCAAGGAAGGUUCUUUUUGAAACAAGGUAAACCCUUCAAGUUGAGACAAAAUCUCAAAUUAAUGUUUUGAUAAUAAUUAAACAAAAGGUAAUUAAGACUUCUAAUUAUGAUUCUAAGAUUUUUGGUAUUUAACAUGUGUGUUUGAAUGUGUUAAUCAAAGAUAGGUACCAAGCAUUUCAAGAUAGAUCAUAUUAAAAAGAAGCAAGUUCAUUUAGAGAAACGAAGAACGUUCUUGACAAAAUUUUGUAAAAUGAAGAACAUUCUCCACAUUUCCAAAAUAACAAGAAUGAUCAGAUUCUUAAACGAAAGACUAGUUCCAUUAUUUACAAUCUGUUCCAGAAUUUCACUAGAAAUAUACAAAUAUCAUUUAAGUAUAAGAAUCACUCCAAAGAACAAAGGCAAAAGCCAUGCUUCAUUCUCCAAAAUGAGCAAGCAAUAAGUGCAAAAAUGACAGAUUGGACUGAACACCUCAGCUGUACUUUUUGAGCAACAUGCACACGUGAUACAAAGCAGGGAAUCACUUCAGAUAGCUGUCAAGCGAAGCUUAAAACUCAACACCCCUCAAAGCAGACACGAAGAUCGUUCUUGCUUUGCAAGAACAUUCCUCCUUUAAGGUUGAUCUUAUCCACUUACUAACACAUGACAAUUGGACCAUUCUCAACGACAAAAUGAGUUGUCAUAAGCCUUCUUAAAGUCUAUAAAAGAAGCCUCAAGAUGAAGGAUAUAUCAGAGCUUCAAGUGCAAAGCAAUACAUCACUCAUACAAUCAUAUUCAAAGUCUCUUAAGCUUCUCAAUCACUUCAAAGAUUUAGUUAUGUUCUUAACUUGAUAUCAGAAUCAUUUUUACUGAGUUCUAAAUUCUAGAGUCUAACCUCAAACAUGAGUUGAGCAUAUUCAAAUUCUACCAAUCUCUUUAUAUCAUCACUUUGUAACUUAAGAAUAUAUUGUUGAAAUAGUUUGAGUAAUUUGUAAAAAUCCUUUUAUGAUUAAAAGGUAAUGUGUAAAAAUCCUUUCUGAAGAUUGAAAGGUAACCUUUGGAAAUACUUUCUAGGUUGAAAGGUAAUACUUUGUAACAUAUCAAGAUAGAUCUGUAAAAGCUAUGUGAAAACCAAAAACGGUGUUGUUUUGAGCACUUAGUGAAAAAUCUCACAAUUGUGAGUACUGGACGUAACCCGUGUUUGGGUGAACCAGGAUACAUCUCUGUGUAAUAUUUCUUUCCUUAUCUCUAUUUACUUUUUAUCUUAUAAUCUUAUAUUAUAUAGAUACAUUAUAAUUUUGUGUUUUUCCUAAUCAAGAACGUUAUUCGUUUAUAACCAAGAUCAAUCUUGAGUUAGAUACUUUGAGUUUUUAACAGGAAUUUUAAAAAAGUGACAAUUACAAUUCAAACUCCCCUUCCUUGUAUUUGACAAUGUUACUUCACUUCAAACCAAUUAGGAGUAUCAUAUGAAUGUUUAAAAGAUUUGCAAAUAACAGAAAGAGUAAGGAUAGGUGUAGUAGUGCAAUUAUCAACUAAUUCCACAUGCAAACAUUUACGCUUCAAAGAAAAUUUCAAAAGGCUAACUUUAUUUUUAACACAAGAGUAAUUAUUCAAGUUAGCAAACAAAUAUUUCUUAAGAAUCACAAUACAUUCUUCAAAAAAUUUGUCAUGAAUCAAAUUUACUUUAGUAAGCACAAUAACACAUUUAUCAAGAAAGUCAUUCAAGUCUUGGCUCAUAACUCUCAAAUCAAGUUUAGAAGAAUAAUAUGAAUUAAACACUUGAUGCAUCAUGGUUUGAACUUUCAAAUGGGGCUUAUGAAAAUAACACAAGUUAGGCAUUUCAACAUGUAUAUUUGCAAACUUAUCAAGCAUAGGAGGAAGACAUUUAUCAAAUAAUGUAAGACAAACAGAAAUUAAAGUAUUUGAAGAAUUAAAGUUGCUGAGAUUCAAAUCAAGAUUUCUUUUGCAAGCUUCCUUUUAGGAAACCUUUGGCCAAUAACCUUUAACUUCAAUGGAUUGUGGGAAUUCCUCUUUUGGAGAUAUAUCUCUAAGCUUUUGAACAUAAGAAUCAACGAAGUUAGGUAAAUAGUUAAACUCAAUUUCUUGCUAUGUGCCUCUCAAAUUUUGUUCCACUUCAUCUUUCUUUUCUUUAGUUUUCACUUUCUUUCUCAAAGCAAACUUAUUUUUUCCUUUUCCACUUUCUUUUCUUUGAUUUUCUCUUUGCCUCUCAAGGCUAGUUUCUCUACUUUUCUUGCCUCUUUUGCAUAUCAAUUUUCAUAAAGAUAUUUCACAUACUCUAGAUCCAAUACAUAAUCUCUAAUAUAAUAAUGAUAUGAAUACUUCUCUCUCUUUUUUUUCUUUCUUUUUUUCUUGAUCCUCAUUUUUAUAUUUUACAUGUCUUUUCUCUUUUGCAUAUCUCAUAUCAUACCUCUCAAAAUUCCUAAGCCUCCUUACUUUUUCUCUAUUUCUCCUUUCAUACAUCCUUUUCUCCUCACCAUAAUCUCUAUAUCUUCUUUCUUUUUCUCCAUUUCUUCUAUUAUACAUCAUUUCCUCCUCACCAAAAUCUUUAUAUUAUCUAUCUUUUUUGCUAUUUUUCUUUUCAUACUAAAGUAAAAAUGUCAAUUAUAAGGAAUGAGGUUUGAAUUAUAAUUGUCCCUUUUCAAAAAUUCCUCUUAAAAACUAAAGUGUUUAACUCAAGAUUGAUCUUGGUUACAAAUGAAUAACGUUAUUGGUUAGUGGAAAGAAAACAACAAUAUUAACAUAUCAAUAUAAACACUGAUUAUAAGACAAAAAAUAAAUAAAGAUAAAAAAAUACAGAUCACACAAGGAUAUAUCCUGGUUCGCCCAACACGGGUUACAUCUAGUUCUCACAAUUGUGAGAUUUUUCACUAAGUGCUCAAAGAAUGAACGAUCUUGGUUUUCACAUAACUUUCACAUAUCAAUCUUGAUUUAUCACAAAGUUCUACCUUUCUACUUAGAAAUGAUUUCCACGGGUUACCUUACACUAUUUCAGAAAAUAUUUUAUAAGCUACCUUUUAAAUCAUUAAAGGAUUUUUACAAACUACUCAAGCUAUGUCAACAAUAUAACCUUGAGUUACAAAGUAAUAAUUUUUUAGAUUGUUAGAAUCUGAGUAUGCUUAGCUCGUGUUUGAGAAUAGAUUCUAGAUUUUAGAACUCAGUUAGUACUGAUUCUAAUAUCACACUAAGAACAUAACUGAAUGUUUGAGAAGCUCAAGAGGAUUCAAGUAUGAUUGAAUAAGUGAUGUUUUGCUUGACACUUAGAGCUCUGAUUUGUUCUUCAUCGUGAAGCUUUGUUUAUAGGCUUUAAUGGAGCUUAUGACAUCUCAUUUGGCCGUUGGAAAUAGUCCAGCUGUAAUGAGUAAGUGAAUGGAUAAGAUCAACCAUAAAGCAAGAACAUUCUUGCUGAAAACACGAAUGUUCUUGUGAACCAAGAAUGGACUUCGAAUUUGUCUUGAGAUGAGUUGAUUGAUGUUCGGAUCUCAACAGUUGUCCGAAGUGAUCCCAUACCUUGAAUCACGUGUGCAUGUCUGUUUGAAAGUACAACAGUAGUGUACUUUCCAGCCUGUCAGUUUUGUACUUGCACUUGAUUAACUUGGAGAAUGAUCUUGCUUUAUUUAUUUUGUGAAGCAAAAUGUUUUGCCUUCGAAUUCUGGAGUAAUUCUUGCUUAGAUUAAUCCUUGUAUAUUUCUGAUGAAGAUAUGAAAUGGAUUACAAUUCCUGGAUUUAAUCUUUUAUAUAGGAAUCUGAUCAAUCUUGUUAAUCUGCAGAUGUGGUCCACACCAUUAAACCUUACACUCUUCAUAUGUAAUCCCUUCCCCUCUCUUCACAUAUAAGAGACAGAAAUUGUGAAGACGGGAUCUUGCUUCUAUUGUGAUUAAGAUUGAAGAAGAUUUAUGAUUGUGAAAUAGGAAAGAUGCAGGUUUUCUGAAGGGAGAAUAAAGAUGAGAUAGUAAAACAAGAGAAUAUUAUAUGGUAUUAUCGAGAGUACAUCAUAAGAUUGUGAAGUCUACUUCAUCUAAUGUUUUUCACACAUUUGUCCAUCAUGGACCAAUACAUCUAAUGGUCCAUUCUAUAAGGUUUGAAGGAAUUUUGAAAACAUAAAAUUAUUUGAUUUAAAUGUCUUUAGUCUCU
rnacentral:lncRNA from 1 species